GUGUAAUAGCAGCCGCCCCAGACAAUCGACUUCCCAGCCAAUGCCGGGAGCUCCGGGCGGCCCCGCGACCGACGUCAACGUGCGCGGGGGGACCCGAGCAGACGCCGGGUGAAAUCUCAGGUCAGGCCCACCCCACCACGGCCUUGGUGGCUUCAUCCACCAAAAACACUGGAAAGCCAAAAUGGCAAACUUGGCAACUACCUCCUAUGAACUGAAGUCAAAACUUCAAUGACAUGUCUCAUUUGAACUUCAUUACUUUAAAAGGUAUGAUUUGGAAGAUUUCACACAAAAAAUUUACAUUUCUGCCUCUCCUGGAAAAUGAGAAGGCCUAGCUCUUCAGCCCUGCAUCCCCACCAGGCAACCUGAAUGGUACCUGAUGAGAAUGUACUCAAAACCUCCAAUGGCUCCCAUCUAACUUGGAAUCCAACCCAAAGUCUUUCCCAGAGUCUACAUAGCCUCUGCUCACCUCUCUGGCCUCUCCUGUCACCUUCUCCUGUGCUCCUGGCACAUUCUGGCCUCCCUGUAGCUUUCCAGCAAGCCAAAUGCUCUCCUCCUACCAUUCACCUUUGCAUGCACUGUUCCAGUCUUGCUGUCUUCUUGUCCUAGAGUUCAGCUGCCCGACAACUUCCCAACCCUGGCUGUCUGCUUCUGUUGCUUCAUUCCCCUGCCAACUGAGAUUGAACAGGAUCCCAUAUCACUCCUGUCCUUCACCGUUGCUCCACCUCUCUGUUCUGUUUCAUUCUUCACACAUUACUAACUAACAGAACGUCUGUUUGAUAUCAGUCUCUGCCCUUGGCAAAAUCUGCACUAAGAGUCUCUGCUGUGCCACAGAACCCAACACAGACACAGCACAUGGGUGUGCACAGCAACUACUGUGGAGAGAGUGGCUGAGAAAUGGUCCACAGCAGGGCUGUCUUGUGAGGCUAAAGGCAAGAUCAUAGGGAUGUGGCCAAGGUAGUGUGGUGGACAUGGAACAAGAAGCACUAUCUGGAAGCUCUCCAGGACAACCGUGGUAAUGGGCCUCAGAAUGCCCUCCAGUCCUCUGAUUUGGACAGCCACAUGGAAGACGGUUGCAUUCAUCCAGAAGAGUCACCAGGAGCUAUCAGGCUGGAGGGAAGGCUGUGAAUUUGCGUUUAGACAUCGGACAUUGUGUGGGAAGUACAAGAUAUAAAGAUGCCAGAAGAUGGACUUUCUACAGUUGCUCUGAGAUCUAUCUGUUUAGUACAAAGGACAUGAGAAUCCAUUGCUAACAGAGGAGUUAGAUGCUCUGGAUUUGGGCUGGUAGCCUCUUUUUUCUGUAUCAAGCAGCACCUGGCAGCAAAAAAUGAGGAACACUAACCAAAGGGACUCUCCACACCUAAUAACCCUACUACCUACAGGCUGUUGAACUCAGGGUAGGACAAGAGGGCUCCAAGAAGCAACUGACUGACUCAUCGAUACAACUGUGUCCUUUAAUAAAGUGAAGACUUGCUUUCUUUAAAAUCUGAGGGCAUCACUUUUUUUGACAGAAAUUAGUUCAAAACCUUUAUAUGGCCACUGCAGCUUAAUGGCAGGGGCAGCAUUAUGGGAUUUGGAAAGUGGUAUAAAAGUAGGGAGAAUGAAGCCUCCCAGCUGUCAGGACAGCCUAAUGGAGACAUUGAUAUCUGGCUGCCUGGGAAUUCUAGGGCCUCCUAGAAAAUUUAGCACAGUGGAACUAGAAGGAUAUUCUUUCACACAAUCCUGAGGAUUUGUUGCCCUAGAUGUAGAAAGAGAUUAAAAAUGAAAGCAAAGCAUUGGCUCACAAAGCAGGCUUGGGAGUGAAGUAAACGGCUAGAGUCCAGACACAUGGCUACCAUGAAAGAUUAAACACAGAAGGCGCCACAGGUACAGGCAAAUUACCUCCCCCCCCCCCCCAACCACCACCGGUGAAGCCAGGAUUCUGGUAACUAGGGACUUGUUUACAGUAUAAAAUAACUGAGAGAGUCCUCCUCAAUUAAGGAGGAGGAGAGAGAAAGAGAAGAAGAAAAAAGCUUCAUAUUUUCAGAGAUUAAAUCCUUCCCAUAGACCACAAAAGGGAGACCAAUUACAGGAAAAUUUCAUUUUAAUGGGCACUCUGUUUGAAUAUUAUCACUAUUGACUAUGAGUAAUUCUGUUUUAGUAUGUGUGAGUUAAAACCUCUGCUUUUUCAGACAAGAGUACUUUCUGCCAAUGAGCUGUGACUUAAAGCUGUGUGAUUUGUGUAAAUGUGUUGUAAUUAAUUGAGCUUUAAAAAUUGACUUUGAGGGGUGAAGGUCUUGGAAAUGGAUGCUAGCUUGGAAAAAGGCACCUUCUAAGAGGUGAUAAAAGAUAUUUAACUGACACGAAGCUCCUCUAAAUUUAUUUUGGUGGAGGCAAUUAAAAAAAAAUCUCCAUAUGUUUGAAAAAGACAAAAUUUAAUUUAAAAAUAUCUUAACAUUAGAACAAAAUAAAGACUGGCUUGGGAAAGUUAGAGUUGAAUGAGAAACAUCAGCAUGAACUCAUGUAUUUUAAAGGGAUUCUAAUUCUAUCACUAACAGUGUAACUGGGCAGCCCCACCCCCCAGGGCGUAAUUGCAGUUUACAGCCUAUGAGCCCCAAGGCCUACAUCUUUGUCUGUAUUACCUUCCCCACAAAUAGGGCUCAAAAAUCCUUGAAAGAUCAUUAAAUUUGUGUUAAGGAUGGCAAAAAUCAAGAUGGGCCCAAGACACUUGCCAGAGAAUGUUUUCUAAACUGUUUUGAGAUAUUGCUAAAUAAAACAAAGAACCCACACUGAC